rnacentral:rRNA from 1 species
GUUUAAUUCGAUGCAACGCGAAGAACCUUACCUGGUCUUGACAUCCACAGAACUUUCCAGAGAUGGAUUGGUGCCUUCGGGAACUGUGAGACAGGUGCUGCAUGGCUGUCGUCAGCUCGUGUUGUGAAAUGUUGGGUUAAGUCCCGCAACGAGCGCAACCCUUAUCCUUUGUUGCCAGCGGUCCGGCCGGGAACUCAAAGGAGACUGCCAGUGAUAAACUGGAGGAAGGUGGGGAUGACGUCAAGUCAUCAUGGCCCUUACGACCAGGGCUACACACGUGCUACAAUGGCGCAUACAAAGAGAAGCGACCUCGCGAGAGCAAGCGGACCUCAUAAAGUGCGUCGUAGUCCGGAUUGGAGUCUGCAACUCGACUCCAUGAAGUCGGAAUCGCUAGUAAUCGUGGAUCAGAAUGCCACGGUGAAUACGUUCCCGGGCCUUGUACACACCGCCCGUCACACCAUGGGAGUGGGUUGCAAAAGAAGUAGGUAGCUUAACCUUCGGGAGGGCGCUUACCACUUUGUGAUUCAUGACUGGGGUGAAGUCGUAACAAGGUAACCGUAGGGGAACCUGCGGUUGGAUCAC